UAGUAGGGACUCUUGUUUGUAGCAAGCUGC
rnacentral:piRNA from 1 species